AUGCUCAAGCUACACCCAAUGUGGCACACCGUCUCCAUCUGCUGCCUUUGCAUCAAGAUGUAGAACUCUGGGCUUUUCCAGCACCGUGUCUGCCUGCACGCUGCCAUGCUUCCUGCCAUGAGGAUAAUGGAUGAACCUCUGAUCCUGACAGACAACAAAUGCCUUAAAAUGCUGUUCUGAGCCGGGAAGAUCACAACGAGAACAAAGAGAAAGUCCUUAGUAGCCAAGUCUAGCUGAAAAUGCAGAGGUCAUCAGCCACUACCACCAGGACACGCCUUGCUAGGCUGGAACCUUUCACUCACAUGUGUGUGCUCAUUUUCUAUUACUGAGCCGUUUCCCUGCCAGGAAAUGAAGUUCACCCUGUUCCAGUUACAGAGAUGAAAAAUUAUGCAAGUCUUCUUUGGAUCGAACUUCCUGCAUAUUAGAACCAGUGUACUUUGGCUCUACAAGACAGUCCAGAACUGUAACAAUUGUCCCACAAGCUUUAUUUUCUAGAUUAGAAAACAGAGGGUACAUGUGUGCAUGAUACUCCAAAUGCCAUUCAUGUUGAAUGCAACAGACUCAGAGUAAAGGCUCUGGGAUGGACAGCUUUGUCAAUUUACCACAGUCUUUAGUCACCAAGUAAGAAAGUUUCAAUGAGAGAUUAUCUAUCUAGAUUAUAUUAGACCAAUGUGCAUGUCUCAUGGGGGCACCUGUGAUUCGGUUAAUAGAUGUGAGAAGACUCUGUCCACUGUGGGAAGCACCAUUCCCUUGGCUUGUGUCCGAGAGUGUCCACUGUGGGAAGCACCAUUCCCUUGGCUUGUGUCCGAGAGAGUGGAGAAGAUGAGCUGAAUAACUGGCAUGCAAGUCUUCAUUUCCUUCUGCUCUUGACUGUGAUGUGACUAGCUGGCUUAAGUUCCUGACACUUUGAUUACCCCGCUAUGCUGGACUGUAACCUCGUACUGUGAACUACAAUAAACCCUUUCUUCC
rnacentral:lncRNA from 1 species